UCGAUUUUGUCUUACAUAUGGUGGUAGUCGAUUAUUUGGAGUCGCCUUUCUGCUGCCGAAAACUACCGGUUGGUGAAUUUUCAUACACGUUUUUAGAACAGCGUUUUUGCAAAUAUAAUAGUGACCACCUUACAUACAAUACAUAAACAGUUAACUUCACAGACGAGCAAGUGCAGCGGAAGAUGUGUGUUGAAGAGCUGGUUUUUAGAAACGGAG